GCCUGCGUGCAUCUGGGAGGCGGACUUGGUCGGGGCAGGUGCUUGUGGCCGAGCUGGGCGUCGACGGGGCAGAGUAUGAAAGCGCAAGGGAGGAAAGGGGGCGAGCAGAGCGCGGGGGCAUGAGCGCGCAGAGGCGGAGAGGGCCGGUCAUGGCGACGUGAACGGUCGGGCCGACAAGUGGCGGCGCGGACGACCGGGACGGCCUCGCCGGGGACGUUUUUGCCUUGGCCCGGCAAAGCAGGGACGCCGUGUGUGGGGUUGUGGCCUUGUGGGCUCGCGAGCACGGUCGCCGUGUCCACUGGCGCCAGAUCCGUAAUGGCCCUUAGGUGCGCGGCCGGCGGCGCCUACCUGACGCGCGAAGAAGCAGAUGCUGCGGCGUCGGCUCUGGGCGAUCCUCACCCGCCACCAAGGGGCACGAGGGCUCAUCUUCCUCCUGUGGGUCCCGUCCUCACAAUACUCCAAGGUUCCAUGGGUGUUGCGCUGCUCUCCUGAUUCCCCUCCUCCGGAGGGUGACCAACAUUUAAAUCGAACUGGGGCGUCGGGGGCGCUGAAGGCCAUGGUAUGCGACAUGUUCAGGCCCCUGGUGCGCAACAUCUCGGAUAUCCGAUCCCUUCGCACUGUCUUUGAUCUCGAGGACUAUCAAGUCGGCAUGAUGUUUGGUGUUUUUCUUGGCUGCGUCGGGUGCUACCAGCUGUGGAAGGCUGCUCCUUCCAUCUUUGUUGAUGCUGCCCUUGCCUAUGCAUUCUAUAAACUUAGCGUUGUGUCCUCAGAGGUGUGCCACCAGGGCAAAUGCAAUGAUUUGUUGACUCGUUUGAAUUUUGGUAAGUGUAUUGCUUUGACAUUGUCUUUAGAACGCAGUGAUAAAGGUUGAUUUAAUUCUCAUGAUAAGUGUACCCGGGUAGCUAACUAGAGCAUUCUAUAGUGCCCACAGGCCUGCCCAUCCUUGUCCGAGGAUUAGCUUCCGUAGGGUGGGUGCUCACCUUCUUUAAAAAUUGUACCAAGGGCUGGUCCUGGUUGGUUUAGUUUUACAUCUUGUGGUAACAUCAAUGAAAAAAUAUAGCCUAGAUGGUCAAUAUUCCCACAUCUAAUCGGGACCACAAGGCUCUUCUCAAGGUUGGUAACUAGCCCGAUGACCUCGCCAAAGACAUCGAGGAUAGAGGUGAGGUGUUGGAUAUCUUCCUUUAUGAGGGCGAAAAAAAUGGUAGCGUCAUCGGCGUCUAGGUAAGUGCCGAGGCAAGCGGUUCACCCACCAAAACUGUGCAGCAGCCUAGAUCGAGUGGCAACGUCGAGAGGGUUCUGAAUUGGAUCGAUUGCUAGGACGAAGAGGAGUGGCGACAAAGGGUCACCUUGAUGAAGACGCCUACCAUGUCGAAUUGGGUCGCCCAGAACGCCAUUAAGCAUAACUCUCGAGGUGGCUGAGCAUAAUAGGGCGACAAUCAUGUCCGUCAUUAAAAUGUUCUCGGUUUUAAAAAUGUUCAUGAAUGAUUGAAUGUAUGCAGUUAAACAGUAAUGCUUCUGAAGGAGGCUAGAUGAGCUCGAGCACGGCGUCGCUGCGCUCGCGGGAGGGUCAGCGCUGCGCUCGCAGGCUGGCUGUAGGGAGAAUAAGCUUGCUGCGGACCAGCGAUCCGGUCUGCUCCUCUUCUCCCGACCGAAUCCCUCUUCCUCCUCCUCCUUUGUCUUUUCUCGAUCUCAAUCUCGACCCCCUCGCCGCGGUGAGCCUCCCUACACAUUCACCCCCGCUUCAGCCGCAUGUCUCCCUCCAGACGACGACGACGACGGUGCUAAAAGGCCCCACAUCCAAAGUGGAAGGCAGAUCCCCUUCCUUUGCAGCCAAGGACGAGUCCCUAGAUUCAGCCGAGGACGAGGCCCUAGAUUUCGUCGCCAAGGUGGAGCUGGCAGUUGAGGUGGAGGAGGAGGAGGUCACGGUGGUGUGGAGGAGAUCUAGGAAUACGUGGAGCCAUCGGUGGAGGCCAAGGUGUAUGUGUGCAACCUUCCCUAUGACGUGAGCAACGAGCCUCACGCAGCUCUUGGAUCAGGCCGGCGUCGUCUAGGUUGCCGAGGUGAGUGUCUCUUCCUCUUAGACCGUCUUGAACGCUGGAUGCUACCCAAAGGUGCUGGGAUUUGUUUCCCAGUCGAUCGGAGUGGAUGCAUAAAGCGCUUGGGUAUUUUACACAGCAGGAACUAGAAUAUUGAAAGUGUUUGCAGUUUGUAAUUAGCGCCCACUGUCCCCACUGCAUUGAAAUUUAAGAAUAUCAUUGGCACAUACAGACCACAGCAAGUCAGAUGUAUACCAAUAAUGUCAAUGAAGACUCAACAUACUUAGCAAGAGGAUAUUAUUUGGUCGAUGCAUACAUACCACAGCAAGUCGAUGACUUUUUUUUGACCCUGAUGCUAUCUUUGAGCAGGACAGUGUAGUCGAGGUUACCGUGCUGAGUAGCUCUUCCUCUUAGACCAGCUUCAGUGUUGGAUGAUAGUUUCAAAGUCGAUAUGUGGCAUCGGUGACAAAAGAUGCAUCAAGUUCGCACAAGGUAAAAUACCGAAGGUGUAUUCAAUCUGUAAUUAGCACCCAUACUUAGCAUCAAGCGGUUAUAGAGUUACUUCAAAAACACCUGCAUGUUCAACUCCAUGAGCUUUCGUGGCUAAGAUGGUUGGAUCUAGGGCAAUACGAGCAUACUGCUGGUCCUAGCUCCUCGGGACAUGGUACACAUAUCCUUUCUUUUCGUAUUCAGAUAAGCAGGACAUCUCCGUAUUGAAUUUUAUAUACAUCGAAUUGUGAAAUUUACCAUUAGUUUUGUGGCAGGUUUAUAUGAAUGCUAUCUGCGAGAAGACAAAUAUCAGGAGCACAUAAAAUCAAUCCAAACACACAUAAAAACACUCCCUGCAAAGUAUCAAUUUUUUUAGAAGUUGGCCACAGUAUUAGUAGUUGAGUAUUCAGAAGGUGGAGUUGAUUUGUCCCUUGGCGUCUGGCCCUCUUUUGGUUAAUAAAUGCAAAUUGACUUUUCUUGAAAAAAUGGGUCUUUCAUUUUUUUCAUUGAGUUAUCUGUGCAUCUUUUAAUUGUUGGGCGAGGAAAGGUUGACCAAGUAGUCUAGCAGAACCAAUUCCAUUUUUAGGGUAAUGGCUUCAGAUUAGAGUGGGAAGGUAUAGAUAUGUUUUCUUUCCACAAGAAGAACAAUGAAUACUAAUACAAUCUUUUCUAGCAUGGUUUGUUCUCAACCAUUUGAGAUUUAUAAUCUCCCUAAAACAGUCACUUCCUUUCUUAUGAAUGCACUUUUAGCUGAUGUUAUUAUCACUGGUCUGCUAUGUUUACAAGGGUGGAUUUACUUUUAGUUUUAAUGGUAUAUGGUGUAAGUUCUGCACCGGUGUGACAUUUACCUUCUUUAUUAGUUUCUUCGUCCUCAUUCUAGAUAUACUAUUGUUGAUGAAAAAUAGUUAGUGCCAUGCAUGUUCCAUCUCAUUUUAUUCACUCCUUGGUUUUUCUGUAACUGCUACUCCAAGUUUCGAUUGCAUCUAUUAGAACGACUGCAACUAUAAGGUUGACGAACUGAAUUUUUUUAUACUGCCUAUUACCCCGUGUUCUAAUUUUUCAAUCUUGACAGGGUAUGGCAAGCUGUUAUGGAAGAUCUGCUAGCUAAAAGAAUGAACAAAGAUGAAAAUGCAUGUAUUCUUAUCAGCACAAUACCUUUUUUCUUAGAAAAGGAGAAUUACCCCUCACCUCUGCAUCAGAGUGAUGCAUGCAUCCUGGCAUGUGACUAAUGAAACGUUAGCACGCUCUAAUUCCUCCCUUUUCAAGGACAUGGCAGGCUCUGAUUUCGGCAUGUUCUGCUGGUGGAUUAACUUCCGUACUGCACUGUGACAGAUUUCGUCAGCUUCUGCAGGUGGAGGCCAAUGUUAAAUGCCUUUCUAAUGUUGGCUUCUUCAUCAAUGUGUAAGACAAUAGUAGCCUAAAGCCAGUCGGGAGAAAAAGGAAAAUCAUGAUAUCUGCUUUUGCCACUUCACAGAUAUACUAGGCCUUGCAAUAUAUGCAAUAUAUAGAAGAAAGUACAUGACCUUUCUGAGUAAUUAGUCCCUUGUCUAACAUUUCGUGUCUCAAUUUGCUCUUACAUGAAGGACAUUGCUGACUAAAACAAGGCAGGCAUGGUAACAACGUUGUGGCCUUAGACCAUGGUUAAACAAGAGACUCAAAAAGGCCGCAACAUGGUUCACUCCAGCAUUUUUCAAUGGUGCGGCCUUUUUCAAUGGUUCACCUCCAUGGUACAUAACAUUUUGGUCCUGGGAGGUUCUGACCGUCGUUGGCGAAGCUGCAAGCACGACACGAACCAGCGUUCCGGGAAGCAACUGAAGACCUUGCAGGGUAGGUGCUACUGCAUUUUACUAAUGGGCCCAUCAGCUAUGGACCUCUUUGUGCGUGUUCGGUCAUGGGUAUACUCACCGACAGAUGGUGGAGACAUAGGAUUCAGGGACCAUUUCCUAGAAGCGCUGCAUGCAUAAGGGGGGCUCAUCCACCAGAGACCUGUUCAUAAAUUAGUGAACACACUCACUACCCUCUCUUGCAUAUGGCCUGGUGUUUGUUUAUCUGACGAGAGCUACUUCUGUUUCACUCUACCCUUAUGACUCCACCUGCCACCUCCCACACGAAGCAAGUGCAGCAAUUUCUAAUGUAAACCCAUCAUAUUACAGAGGCCAUUCAACUUGGAACAUCGAGUAAGAACAAAUACUUUUAUUUAUUCAGCUUAUUGAGAAAGUUAUGGGAAUUGUUUUGUGAAUAAGAAAGUUAUGGGAUUUAUGAACUGGAAAUAUUAAUUGUUUGAAAAAAAUGACCAAAAUUGUUUCAA